CUGUGCAUCAGGAUGUCACAAGGCGCUAAGUUUUAACCAAAAGUGUUAAAUGAAAUGACAAAUUAUCUCCGGGAAAGAACCUCAUUCUGAAUAACCUUUAAACACGAGAAGAGGAUUAAAAACAACUAAGCCGAGUUUUAGCUCUUUGUAAAAUCACAGCGGGAAACUGCCGAGUGGCUUUUGAACGCAAUGGUGUUUGUGUAAGGUUUAGCUAGCAUGCUAAGCUAAGUGCUAGCCCAAGCUAAGUUGAUGUCGGAGCGAUAGAAACUGAAUCCCGGGGACAUGGCAGCGGGAACAGGCGGAUCAUUCGAAGCCAGUUUGGAGAAGAGGUUCAGAGGUCUGACCAACACCAUGGAUUCCAUCCAGGGACUGUCCGCCUGGUGCAUAGACAACAAGAAGUACCACAGCCUCAUUGUGCGCCAGUGGAUGAAGUGUUUGAGGAAAUCGAAUGCCUCCCACAGACUGAACCUGAUGUACCUGGCUAAUGAUGUCAUUCAGAACUGCAAAAGGAAAAACGCCAUUAAUUAUCGUACAGCGUUUGCUGAGGUGCUGCCAGACGCCUUCCAGCUGGUCAAACUUGAGAGUGACCCGAAGAUGAUAAAAUCUGUGGAGAGGAUUCUGUCCAUCUGGGAGGAGAGGGAUGUAUAUUCAGGCACGCUUGUUAAUGAUCUCAGGAAUAUCCUGGUUAAAGAAGAGUCGCCUCCUCAGACACCUGUGGAGCAAAAAACUCCGGUUGUGUCUAAAGCUGAGCUGCAAUCCAAGGUUGUUGCUGAGUUUGUGCCCCAGGCUUUUAUAGACCAACUAAACAAGUACAAGAAAUCCCUGGAGGAGGUUGACCUCAAAGAAAAACAGCUGGCAGCCAUGAGAGUUGACAUCUUCAGCUCUGAUGCUCUCAGGAAACUCAAAGAUAAAGCAGGAGGAAAGAAAUUCUCCAGAGAUUUUGAGGAGGGAAGUGCUCAGCUACAGGAGUUUGUCAAGUUUUUUGAGAAACAAAGCAAAAUUGGUCCUGCACUUCUUGAGGCUCUUGGAAAUGCAGAUAUCUUUUAUGAGAUGCAGUACAAAGAGGUCAAGAUUGUUGCUAAUGCCUACCAAACGUUUGCAAACAGGGUUUCCCACCUCAAGCGUAAACUGGAUGCCCUGAAGGCCACCUUACCAGAUCUGGAUGAGUCCCCUAUCCCCUCGCCGACUGCAGACGCUCCAUCUCCAACAGGAUCGGAAUCCCCUUUUCACGGCCUGGAGUUAGCGCACCCAGAUCCAGACCUUGAUGGUUCUGCCAUGGAUGAUGACGCAGAGCCGCCGGCCCCGAGUCCUCUGUCCUCACCAGGAGCGUCCCCGAAACCCUCAGAGAUCAUCGGGGAGGACGACAACCGUGAGGUGGCGGACAUGGAGCUGUCAGAGGAGGAAAUGGACAGCGGUGGCAUCAUAGUCGAAGAGCAGAAUGAGUCCUUCCCUCAGCCAGCCGUUUCUGCUCCAACCCCUGCAAAGAGUGAGCCAUCUGUAGCAACAGAGCAGAUUACCCAGCCGGUCAGGCCUUCUGCAGCCGUUCCCUUAGACGUCGCCGCAGCUCUUCCUGCAGCUCCUCCCUCCACCGUCCUUCCAGCCGUUUCCUCAGCCGCCCCUCCACUUGUUCCUUUAGCCGCUCCUGCAGAUAUUUCCAAAAACAUCCUUUCAACUGUUCCUGCGUCUGCUCCUGUUGCUCCUCUUGCAGCUGUACCUGCAGCCGCCUUGGAAAAUGUUGAUCUGGGUAAAAUUGGCUCCAUCCUCAGCAGCUUGAGCCCAGUCAUAAAAAGCACAGCAACAGCAGUGGAGGAUCAUCCUACAGCUCCUCCAGUGAUACCCAAACCCGCUCCUCCUUUGGUGCCACAGGAUGCCAGUUCACUAGUGAACCUCCUUUCUAAGGUGGAUGUGAGUCCUGCAGACCUGCUCAGUGCCCUGUCCAAAGUUCAGAGCCAUAGCAACUUUAAGGGUACUACCCCCCUCCCGUCUCCAAAUGUAGCCCCACACCCCUUCACUUCAAGCAAGACAACUUCCUCAUCCUUACCAGCAUCAGCAGCACAUUCUCAGAGCACUGCUCUGUCCAUCCCUGCAACUGUACAUUCUGCAGCAAACACUGCUGCACAUCAGAACUCAGAGGCAGCCCCCAAAACCUCCAACAAAGCCUCUGCACUGGUCCAAGCUCUGCACAGAAAUAUGGAUUUGAGUACAGAUCCAGAACCAUCUGUUUCCUCUUUGAGCUUAGACUCUAAAAUUCACAGCUUCCUACAGGGAAACCCUGCAUUCAGUGGCUUCGAUCAGAGUUUUCCAACAAACCCAUCUAGAGCAGGGGAGAGUUUUAGCCCAGUUACUGGUACAGAAAACCAGGAGGGAACCCCAGUCAGGGAUGAGGGAGGAGGCACCCCGACUCAAGAUGAGAUGAUGGAUAAAACGGUGUCAGCCGCGUUGGCUACGAGCAAGAAUCAGUCUUCUGUGGAUGGAGCAGCCAAAACGGCCCCUGUAGCAUUUGAGAAUAACAUGCAGAGGAACCCCAACAAUCCUCAACAUCCAGCUUACCCGCUGCCAGAAUUGGCCCAGAACGGCCAGGUCUUCCAGUCCUUCCCAUUCGGGAAGCAGGAGAUGUUAGAGAGCAGGCUUCCUGCACCAGCUGAACAUAAUCAACAUGUUGCCAUGCAUCCAGGAGGGCCUGCUUUUGGAGCGGCAGUUCAAAGCCGUUCCAGCAUCUCACAGACAGUCGAAGGAUUUCAGAGGGCAAACAACCAGAGUUGGUUUGGUGAUGAACACCCAGAGAGGGGCCCUCAGCAGCCUAGCGGCUUCAACAUGUUGAUGCCAGGAGUGAGAGAGAAUCGAACAGCAGGACUUUAUCCCUACCAAACUGAGCAAAAUCAGGAACAUCAGGAGUUUGUUUCCAAACAGGGUCCCUCUGUCAACUCUGCUUUCUUUGGAGGAGCUCUUCCUCCUGUCCCAAAGGUACCGCCCCCUCCUCCUAGCUUUGAUCCCAUGAUGACAUCCCCAGGCGGUGGUCUGGUUAACCCCCCACAGCAGGAACCUGUACCCCACACGGCCGCUGGGGGGUGUAUGGAGAGCAGAGGGGAUAGCUUUUUCAGAGACCAUGACCAUCAGCAUUCAUCCAUGCAUCCAGACGAUCUGUUCCAUGACCCGCAUCCACCUCCCCAACCAGAGGAUAUGCGUUUCCAUGAAGAUCCUGGACAAUCUGAUGGCCAUUUCCUCCACGAUGAUUCAUACUACCCAGCCGACGAGCCGUAUUUCAGUCCUCCUCACCCUUAUCCCAGAGGCCGUGGGCACAUUCCUCCCCCACGCUCACCUUCAAGGGACCCUUAUUUUGCCCAAGAACAUCACAACCGCCCACUUCCACGUCAGUACGGCCCAAGGCGGCCGCCCCCUCCCCAUCAUGAAAUGCGCCACCCUGGUCAGCGGCCCCCUCCGCCUCGGCAACCGCACUUGGCCCGCCAUCCAAAUCCAAGAGGCCCGCCUCGCCAGCCGUUCCCUCGUUUCAAUGGCCCUGACCCGAGGUUUAGAGGCAAGCGGCCGGGGUGGCCAGGGCCGAGAGGAGACGGUCCUAUGUUCCCUCCGAAGAGACCCUUCCCACCCCCACGGUACUGACGUCUCCAUCUUGAGUUCAGGGGGGUGGGCGGGGUAAACGCUAGCUAAUCAAGAGUGUUCAGAUCCACACUCUUUAAAGCUGUGCAGAUCCCUGAUGGCAUCAAAGGACGGUUAAACAGACAGAAGCUAAUAAACAGAAGGAAAAACGGAGGAGAAGGAAAAACGGACAAGAUCCCAGGAGGCUCCGAGAAGGCUGCAGAGGAAAGACAGAAGAUUCAAGAAAAUGAGAGGGAUCAAGAGCCACUUUGAUGUGUCUGAUGUGACGGGAGAGAAAAAACUACGCUGUGCCACAUGUUAGCUGAUGGAAGUGAGGAACUUCUUUGAAUCCUGCUCUGCUCCCGGUGAUGAUGGCUCUUCACGGUCUGUAAUGAACACUGAGCACUGCAGCUGAGCCAGCUCCAUGUUUCUAUCCCAUCUGACGCAGCAUUGAGAUUGGAAACAUCCAGACACGUUGGGCAGGGAAGGUGUUGGAGCUGUGGAUUUUAAAAUGAUUUAUUCAUUAUUGAUUUGGGGAGAUUAGGGUUUUCUGUGACUUUAGAUUUUAGAUUUCAAAGCCCAUUUCUCCAUCCUUUUUAAUAGUUGACAGAUUGAGUUUAAGCUGUAUUUGAUCCAAUUAUCAAAAUUACCUUUAUGAUAUUUACAUCAGUCAGAUUGCAUUAUUUGUUAAGAAAAGAAAACUAAUGGAAGAAGUAUUCAAGAUGCUCAAACAUAAAGUUUUGCAAAAGUGGUGCAUUAUUACAAACUAUAAGGGCAGGCAUUCAUGUUUGCUUAAAUAAGAGUGCUUAGCUGGUGAUUAUGUUUUAUAACCUUUUUUAAAAACCUUUUUCACAUCACUGAGCGUGUUCUGUUCUCCUUCUCAAAGAUGCUGUUUGUUCUCCGAUGUUUUUAAAAAAAAAAAAAAACCUUGAAGAAUCAUAGAACAGCAGGAAAACCGCACUAAACACAUACAAGUUCUUGGUUUUAUGUAGGAGUGCUACACUGGAGCAUUUUCACUUUUUUAUGAAAACAACCUAAACAUUGAUUUUUUUUUCUUUACAAUUCACAAUGAUGUGAAACAUUCAUUGAUUCACAUUCAUUCAUGAAACACAUUAAAUCAUUAUAAAACAAAAUGAUAAAAUAACAAAAUGAGAGAAAAAAGUUCAAGACGCAUGAUUGCUUUUGAAAAUCUCCACAUUUUGAAGAUUGGGUUAUAUCUCUUUGAUCUCUGUCAUGUCUGGUGUGGAGCUCUUUGAUGCACUGCAGUAGAGUCAGAAAGGCUGAGCUACGUUUAUUUCAUUCACAUUAUGGAAAGUUAUUUUCUUGCUGAUUUUAAUUGCAAAUGUGUGACAUCAUCUCAAACACAUUCAUUAAACUGUAUUAGCUAUAACUAUGACUUUAUAAAGUACAUUGCAAAUGUGUUCUUAUGCAUGGCAUGAGUUUCAAUUCUCUUACAUCUUAAACAGAACCACAUUUUAUGAAGUAAUAUGUUUUGUAAAUUUAAAUAUCCAAUUUCAUAAAACAGUUUAAAAGAUUGAAAAUGUACUUUUCAUAAACUUCAGUCCAAAAAUAAAACAAGCCUUCCAUCCAGAUAAUGCAACUUGUGGGUUCUAUCUCCUUUUCCUAGCUUCGCUUCCUUCACCUUUCAGGAGGUCAACUCAGUAAAAACACUGUUAUUGGUAGAAAGGAACUCCACACUGCUGUGCUAAACAUCUGUAAGGCUAACAACCUUUAGCCUUACAGAUGUUAAAGAGCUGUGCUUGUACACUCUUUCAUGGAAAGGAUUAUGGGCAACCAUAUACUGUAUAUAUUGUAUAACAUUUUGUGUUUCCAAACUCCUCCAUUUUCAGCUUUUCAAUCAAGAUAACUGCAGAUUUUCAAUGUGCCUUCCUCAAACAAGUGAAUUAGUUGUUUAGACUGGUUUUGUGUGCAUCAUCGUCCACAUAUGUUCAUAUCCUAUGCUGUGUUAAAAGAGAGCGACAUGCCAAGUAUUGCCAGAAGAACACCUUACCCUCUAUAAACAUGGGGGUAGUAGCACCGUGCUGUGGGACCGGUUACAUGGAGACCUAACCCCAUUGAAAGACUAACAUUCUGGGCUCUUUACUGUUAAAUAUUGGUGGAAAGCCUUCAUUUCUCAACCAGAACACUGAAAAUUUAUUAAGAACAGCUCUACCAGCACGAUACAAGCACACAACGCAGCACUAAGAGAAAAAAGGAGUGCCUUAAGAAGAAUCACAUUAGGACUAUGGAGCGGCCUGGCCUGUCUAAGCUCUUAGGGGAGGGAUCAUGAGCUUUGAGUUAUCAAGUGGCAUCUCAGAACCCCAGAAGAACUUUAGAACAGAAUUGUGGCCAAAAUACCUCCUGAGACUGAAAGACAUGCCUUAGCACUGUGCUUUUCAAUGAAGGUUUCUACAAGUUUUAAAUGAUGUUGUGUUUGGGGUCCAAAUACUCAUUUCACUCAAUAUUUCUGUGACAUGCAAAUCUUUGUCUUGACUGUUUCCUUUAUGUCUAUUUUAAAA